ensembl:lncRNA
AUGGCAGCCCUAGCAAACUGCACCCAGGAACAGUCCAGGCACACAGGCACAGGCACAGGUGCACAGGCACACAGGCACAGGCACACAGGCACAGGCACACACACACAGACACAGGCACACAGGCACACAGGCACACAGGCACAGGCACAGGCACAGACACAGGCACAGGCACACAGGCACACACACACAGACACAGGCACACAGGCACAGGCACACAGGCACAGGCACACAGACACAGGCACACAGGCACAGGCACACAGGCACAGGCACACAGGCACAGACACAGGUACAUACACAGGCACAGGCACAGACACAGGCACAGACACAGGCACACAGGCACAGGCACAGACACAGACACACAGGCACAGACACAGGCACAGGCACACAGGCACAGGCACACAGGCACAGACACAGGCACAGACACAGGCACAGGCACAGGCACACAGGCACAGGCACACAGGCACAGGCACACAGGCACAGGCACAGGCACAGACACAGGCACACAGGCACAGGCACAGGCACACAGGCACAGGCACACAGGCACAGGCACACAGGCACAGGCACACAGGCACAGACACAGGCACAGACACAGGCACACAGGCACACAGGCACAGGCACACAGGCACAGACACAGGCACAGACACAGGCACACAGGCACACAGGCACAGACACACAGGCACAGACACAGGCACAGACACAGGCACAGACACAGGCACACAGGCACAGGCACAGGCACACAGGCACAGGCACACAGGCACAGGCACACAGGCACAGACACAGGCACAGACACAGGCACACAGGCACAGGCACAGGCACACAGGCACAGGCACACAGGCACAGGCACACAGGCACAGACACAGGCACAGACACAGGCACACAGGCACACAGGCACAGGCACACAGGCACAGACACAGGCACACAGGCACAGGCACACAGACACAGACACAGGCACAGACACAGGCACACAGGCACAGACACAGGCACAGGCACACAGGCACAGACACACAGGCACAGGCACACAGACACAGACACAGGCACAGACACAGGCACACAGGCACAGACACAGGCACAGGCACACAGGCACAGACACAGGCACAGACACAGGCACACAGGCACAGACACAGGCACAGGCACACAGGCACAGACACACAGGCACAGACACACAGACACAGACACAGGCACAGACACAGGCACAGGCACAGGCACAGACACAGGCACAGGCACAGACACAGGUACAGACACAGGCACAGGCACAGGCACAGACAGGCACACAGGCACAGACACAGGCACAGGCACAGACACAGGUACAGACACAGGCACAGGCACACAGGCACAGACACAGGCACAGACACAGGUACAGACACAGACACAGGCACAGGCACAGACACAGGCACAGACACAGACACAGACACAGGCACAGACACAGACACAGGCACAGACACAGGCACACAGGCACAGGCACACAGGCACAGACACAGGCACAGACACAGGUACAGACACAGACACAGGCACAGGCACAGACACAGGCACAGACACAGACACAGACACAGGCACAGACACAGACACAGGCACAGGCACAGACACAGGCACAGACACAGGUACAGACACAGACACAGGCACACAGGCACAGACACAGGCACAGACACAGGCACAGGCACAGACACAGGCACAGGCACAGACACAGGUACAGACACAGACACAGGCACACAGGCACAGGCACAGACACAGACACAGGCACACAGGCACAGACACAGGCACAGACACAGGCACAGGCACAGACACAGGCACAGGCACAGACACAGGCACAGACACAGGCACAGGCACAGGCACAGACACAGGUACAGACACAGACACAGGCACACAGGCACAGGCACAGGCACAGACACAGGCACACAGGCACAGACACAGGCACAGACACAGGCACAGACACAGGUACAGACACAGACACAGGCACACAGGCACAGACACAGGCACAGACACAGGCACAGGCACAGACACAGGCACAGGCACAGACACAGGCACAGGCACAGACACAGGUACAGACACAGACACAGGCACACAGGCACAGGCACAGGCACAGACACAGGCACAGACACAGGCACAGGCACAGGCACAGACACAGGCACAGGCACAGACACAGGUACAGACACAGACACAGGCACAGACACAGGCACAGACACAGGCACACAGGAGAACAAAACAUACAGGUGGUCGUAG